AGCGAACGCUGGCGGCAGGCCUAACACAUGCAAGUCGAGCGGCCGUAGCAAUACGGCAGCGGCAGACGGGAGAGUAACACGUGGGAACGCGCCCUUCGGUUCGGAAUAACUCAGGGAAACUUGAGCUAAUACCGGAUACGCCUAACGGGAAGAUUAUUGCGAGGAACGGCCGCGUCCGAUUAGCUAGUUGGUGAGGUAACGGCUCACCAAGGCGACGAUCGGUAGCUGGUC
rnacentral:rRNA from 1 species